rnacentral:lncRNA from 1 species
CUUAAUAUUCGUUUGUCGAGGGAGUAGUUUUGGGCUACAUCAAAAACAUUUUAAUCAUAUUAAAAGAACUUGGGCCUAUCACAACCAUUGGUCCAAGUUUAAUAUGAAUUAGUAGUUUAUAAUACUCCCACUAUUUCGAAGAAAUAAGUGAGACUAUAUGGAACUACUAACGAAUGCAUUGCAUCCUCAUAUGGACUAUAUAGUCAUAUUAGGUUUUAGGAUGAUUAUGAACCGAUUGAUUUGAUCCAACACGAGCCUUGUGUUGGACCUUGGGUUUAAGGUAGAUAGUUGUUGAUUUUAGUUAUGCGUUUAAUCCAAUUAAACCGUUAUUUCCUAUUGGGCGUUGGACCCAACUAUUCCAUUUAGCAUACAAUUAAACAAAAGGAAUACAUGAAAUAGUAAGAAGGGCUUAUGCCCUUUUACAACACAAAUGAUGGACUUAUGUCCAUGUACAACAAAUUGAAUUAAUCAAAUUACAUUCAAUAUCUACUCUACCAAACCCAAACAUUCAUAAUGUAAAGCAGCCAAUCACAUAGCUCAAUUAUCGAGGCCUUUGGUUCAUAAUCACCCUUUUCUCAAUUAAUCACAUUAACUAAGAAAGCAACUUUAAACAAUUGGUUUUUGGAUCCAUAGAAUUGAUUUAAAUGGAACUAAAUGAAAUGAAAAUCCAAUUCUCAUUAAAAGAGACAAAACAAUUUUGUUCUCAUUUUAUUUGGGCCAAAAGGAAACUAUGACCACAACAAUUGGGCCAUAAUGCAAAUACAAAAACUUUUGGGGUCACUUUGUAAAAACACAAUAGUCCACAACUUCAUGUAAUUACAACUAGAUCCCAAAAUUUUAUUAAUGUAAAAACAUCAUUAAAGGAUCAAAACAAUUCGUCCUUUAGAGUUUUUGGGCCUUAACGUAAAAACGUAAACUUUUGGGCCAAAAUGCAAAUACAUAAAAGUAUCAAAACUUUAUGUAAUUGCAUAAAAGACCCCAAAAGUACCCCCACUAGGGGGUGGCCGGUUUUAGGAGUGUGAAUGAGUGUGAAAGGGAUUUUAUGCAACUUGAUUUUGGUGGGUGAGGUAAAGGUGAAAUUGAUGGUUUGUAAGAAAAUGUUUUGUAAAACAUUAAAAAGUUUUGUCAAACAUUAAAGCCAAUAUUAAUGCUUCACCAAUAACUAUCACCCAUCAAAAUUAAACCAAAACUUUAUGCAAAAACAUAAAACUUUUGAAUCAAAACUUCAAAACUUUUUGUUCUUGGCAAGAACUUCAAGAACAUUGAAGAACACCAUGAAAACUCAUAAUAGCUCCAUGAAUUUUUUCACUCACCAAAACUCAAUUUUUCACCACUCAAAAGAGGGCUAAUAUCCUAGGGUACUUAGGGGUUCCAAAAGUCACCUUAAAACCAUUUUAACAAGACAAACAUGAACCCAAAAAUCACCCUUUGGAUUUGGCCGAAUUUCCCAAAACACAUGGCACCAAAUUUUAGU